rnacentral:lncRNA from 1 species
CGAGCUCCUACGGUAAGUGGUCCUCGCCCGUAGCCUUAACGCCCAAGGCACCCAACAGGAUUUGCAAUAUCCGAGUUUCUCUCAGAUGGAUAGCUACCUCUCUCCGCCAGGCACCUCCACCAAACUUUGACCGACAGGCCUGGGCCCCCUGGCAGGCCACAGUAACGGCCACGACUCUGCUCCACUUCCUACGACGGAUUCCACAUGGCUCCAUCACUCCCUGGCAGGCCACAAUAAUGGCCACGACUCUGCUCCACUUCCUGCGAU